rnacentral:rRNA from 1 species
AUAUACAAGAACCCUUAAAAAUUUUAUGAAGCGAAACAUCGUAGUAAUAAAUCUAAGACAGAAUUCAACUGAGAUGUUAAAGUAACGGUGAGUGAAACAAAGUAGCUCAAAAAUUAGAAGAGAGGGCUGAACUACUUGGAAAAGUAGGCUACAGAGGGUGAUAGCCCCGUAAGCUCUU